UGUUUUAACAAUCCCCACCCCCCUCCAUAACCCUUAGGUCUGUAUCCAUUUGAAAUGUGUUGAUCUGUAACCUUGUAAGUUAGUGUUAUGAAAGCCAUUAAAAAGGAGACCUGGUUGAGUUAAUAAUUAGCACUUUGACCCCUAAAAAAUGCUCUUGGUCCUAGAAAAGUCCUCCAUUCAGGCCUUUCGUGUAAGUGAAGAGAAAGGAAUGCAGCAAAGAGGAGUUCCACGGUGCAGUCCCUAGUUCUGUCAGGAUCCUAUUAGCCAGGCUUCAGCACCUCUUGGAAGCAAACUGCACUUCAGGCUGACGUGGUGCAGUGACCUAUAAGACCUUGUGUUUGUUAGUUGUCUAGGAAAAGCCGUCCUCGGUCUUGCUGACAAAG
rnacentral:lncRNA from 1 species